GAAAUUAUAAUCCGGCGAGGGGAAAGGCGGAGAGUUGUAGCUGGCCUCUAGGGGCAUGUGCACGCUCUCUUCCGGACCUUUCGCCGUAUGGGCGCGGGGCGACCCGCGUCUUCAUAUACCUCUUCGUGUAGAAAGUCUUUGAAUGUUUUACCAUCAUCGAGUCGCGACUUCUAGGAGACGCGAUUCUUUGAGAAAAAAGUUAUUACAACUUUCAGCAACGGAUCUCUUGGCUCUCGCAUCGAUGAAGAACGCAGCGAAUCGCGAUAUGUAAUGUGAAUUGCAGAUCUACAGUGAAUCAUCGAAUCUUUGAACGCACCUUGCGCUCCUCGGUGUUCCGAGGAGCAUGCCUGUUUGAGUGUCAGUAAAUUCUCAACCCCUCUCGAUUUGCUUCGAGCGGGUGCUUGGAUGUUGGGGGCUGCCGGAGACACUGGAUUCAUCCAGGACUCGGGCUCCUCUUAAAUGAAUCGGCUCGCGGUCGACUUUCGACUUUGCAUGACAAGGCCUUUGGCGUGAUAAUGAUCGCCGUUCGCCGAAGUGCAAGACAGAAUGGUCCCGUGCCUCUAAUGCGUCGACGCCUCUAGGGGCGUCUUCCUCAUUGACGUUUGACCUCAAAU
rnacentral:sRNA from 1 species